GAGCCUUCACUCCGCUCCCUGGAAUCCACUCCUUAUUUUGCGGUUUCAAGGAAGGUACGAUCCCAGAAAUACAAGCAAGCCUGGAGGUGGUUAGGACAUGAAAGUGAGCAGCAACAAUAAACUCCACGUACCAUCAUGCCUUGCGCGCCUACGUCGGCUGAGAGCAGCAUGUGCUGCGCUGUCCUGCUCCAACUAUGGCACAGUGCUGCUCAGGCUCUUCACAGGAGCGCAUCGUAUCAGCUACAGAGACGCCUGUAGGAGCUCCAGCAGAGACCAUCACUGCACUGGACCACAAGGAGGAAUCAGCUGCUUUUUAUCGCUUAUUGGAAAUAUUCACACUGAUCGAUCUGCUUGUAUUUACCAAAGCAGCAAUCACUUUACGCACGGAUUCUUUGGACGCAGAGAGGAUUAAACGCUGUUACGGCACUGACACACGUGGAGGAGUUAUUGUUAUUAUUAAUUUUACUGGUUAAACUUUAGGAUGGCUGAUGGAUUCAGUGCUCCAGCUGUGAAUUGUGCUGUAGGAUAUAAGGAAAUGCUGUCUCUGACACGGGAUGAGAGGUGUCCAUUUCUCCUGCUGCCCGACUCCUUCUGCUGGACAAGCCGUUUGUCGGACAGACGAGUCUCUUGGGAUACUUUACGCGUGUGGCCAGUGUCAAAGAAGGCCAUGAUAUGAUUUUUGGAAAUGUAUUGCUGUGGAUUUUGGCAAAGACUAAAGGAUUAUCCUGGAAUAUAUUUUGAAAGCGAUGCUUCGUAGAUGUCCUGCAGUUUGGAUAAUGACAUCUCCUCAUCCAGCAGUGAAGGAAUCCACAUUCUUGGAAUGAGAUGUCAACCUUUAAUUGCUUCCCAGGGAUCCUCUGAUGAUCUCAGGUGAGAACCCAGAAGAGGCUGACUAAUGGAAACAUGAUCUCAGGAGAUUUAACAGGAUCAUACUAAAUCCUGGUUUGGACCGUGGACCAGCAUCCCCUGCAGCAGAUGUUUGCUCCUGGCAUGGCUGAGAAACAGCGUGAGCUCCAUCACUGACAAUCUCGCUCUCAGGAUCCAGCGCCAGCAGCUUGGACUUGGAGAAGCUGUGACAUAAACUCAGCGGGACAGUGGAGUGUAUUCUGCUGCUCCGACAUUAUGGAACAGAUCAGUCAACCUUGUCUGGAGAGGCGCUCGAUAGGAAAGUCAACUGGAUGAAUGUGCGUUUACCGUAGUUACCACAAUGGAUCUACACAUUGUUUGACUUUUUCUAAAUUGAACCUGGAUUAAUAUUUUCCCGUAUAUACAUCUGCUUUCGAUAUCCAGUGUUUAUUCACGCUGUUGCUCAUACACUGCAAUUGUGACAUAUACUGUGUUAUUCUGGAUACAGUAUCAACAAGCGUUGGAACUGUAAAUGGAAAAUAAUCAGAUGUUAUUUUCAUUUUUGGGGCCUAUUUUUACAGACCGAAAGGCAGCGCUUACACCAGUAUGUACACCAGUCGCAUACAAAGUCUUGUGAAGAGCGAAAGAAAUGUUUCCUGUUGUGUAAAAUUUGAGAUUCCUCUAAAGGAUUACUCAUUCACUAGGAAUGUAACUAUCACCUGAUGUCUUCUAAUUGUGAUUACAAAGAAGCCUUUGUAAUCAAGGUGCUUAUGAAUGCAUCUAUUGACACUGCAUUUCAUUUUGACAAUUGGCAGCCUAUGUUAGUUUUGGUUAAUUAUCCUGUCAAGCUGUUUAUUCUGAUAUUGAUUAAUAGCUGUAUAAUUUUGUUGUGUCUGCCCAUUAACGGAAAUAAAGAAAGUGU